GCAUGCCUUCACCAAAAACAUGAUUUUGUGAUGAAAGCUUGAGAAGAAUAAAGUUUGACAUGUAUUUCAUUUUAGACAGAGGAGAUAAAGUUGUCUGUUUGUCUACUCUACCAUCACAGUCCCUCUAAGCAUUGCCUGGAAGUCGCCUGAAUUCCCAAGUGAGAGAUGCUGUUCCAGCUUGUUUGGGUGAGUGAGCAUAAACAGGCUACAGGACAUUCAUUUGCUGGCGUGUGUACUUGGUUCUCUGACACAUACAGGCCUGACUCCUGCGAUCAUCAGAAUGAGCUUUAGUGUGCUGCAUGAAUCCUCACGGGAAACAGCAAUGCAAUAUCAUCUACUUGACAUGAUGGUUUUAUGUUCAACUGUGAGCUCUGACUCAUAUUUCCUAACUAUGUAGGGUCUUGUGUGUGGGCUCCCUCAACCCUCAACCUGGAGAGCGAAAUUGAAACUAUCUCUCAGCCCCAGAACUUCGGAUGCCACCAGCGGAUGCCUGACUAUCACAGAUCAAAGACUGUCGGACUUGCCUUUGAAGUUCCCUUCCUCUGGCCUCAAGUUUAUGUUAAAUUGUUUGGUUUCAGUUUGCCCUUGGUUUCGAUUAUGCCUCUGGUUAUAUAAACUCAGUUUUCCCCUAGUAAAAACACACCCUGAUACAGCUA